rnacentral:rRNA from 1 species
CCUACGGGUGGCAGCAGUGGGGAAUAUUUGGCAAUGGGCGCAAGCCUGACCCAGCAACGCCGCGUGAAGGAAGAAGGCUUUAGGGUUGGUAACUUCCUUUGUCAGGGACGAAGCAAGUGACGGUACCUGACGAAUAAGCCACGGCUAACUACGUGCCAGCAGCCGCGGUAAUACGUAGGUGGCAAGCGUUAUACGGAUUUAUUGGGUGUAAAGGGCGUGUAGGCGGGAGUGCAAGUCAGGUGUGAAAACUAUGGGCUCAACCCAUAGCCUGCGUUUGACGCUGUACUUCUUGGGUGCUGGAGAGGCUAUCGGAAUUCCGGGGGUAGCGGUGAAAUGCGUAGAUAAACGGAGGAACACCAGUGGCGAGGGCGGAUUGCUGGACAGUAACGGAGGCUAGGGCGCGAAGGCGUGGGGAGGAAACAGAAUUGGAUACCCUGUAGUC